AGUGAACGCUGGCGGCAGGCCUAACACAUGCAAGUCGAACGGCAGCACAAGAGAGCUUGCUCUCUGGGUGGCGAGUGGCGGACGGGUGAGGAAUGCAUCGGAAUCUGCCCAUUUGUGGGGGAUAACCUCGGGAAACCGGGACUAAUACCGCAUACGACCUGCGGGUGAAAGCAGGGGAUCUUCGGACCUUGCGCAGAUGGAUGAGCCGAUGCCGGAUUAGCUAGUUGGAGGGGUAAAGGCCCACCAAGGCGACGAUCCGUAGCUGGUCUGAGAGGAUGAUCAGCCACACUGGGACUGAGACACGGCCCAGACUCCUACGGGAGGCAGCAGUGGGGAAUAUUGGACAAUGGGCGCAAGCCUGAUCCAGCCAUGCCGCGUGUGUGAAGAAGGCCUUCGGGUUGUAAAGCACUUUUGUUGGGAAAGAAAAGCAGCCGGUUAAUACCCGGUUGUCAUGACGGUACCCAAAGAAUAAGCACCGGCUAACUUCGUG
rnacentral:rRNA from 1 species